AUGGGCUUCAGAGACGGAGAGGGAGAUAGGCGUGGGAUGGCAGGGAGGGAAAGGGACAGGGAGGAGUGAGGCUGCCAAAAAAGGGGGUUAGGGUUGAUUUUUUCUCCUCAAAUCAAGGUUUGGUGUCGGUGAUUGAGAGAUUGAGAGGGAUGGGAGAGAGACAGAAACACACCCAUUUGGCCUUCAUUUCCCUUUCUCAAACCCUAGCAGCAACAACACCAACUCUAGCCGAUCUCUGCAAUAGCGUCGGCUCCUGCUUUUGAAAACCAAAACCCCACAAACCUGGCCUCCAUUUCUGUAACUCGGAGCUUCGUCUCUCUGAGUCUAACUCCGAAUAUCAACAAGAAGCCGAGCAUAGCUCUUUCUAUAGCCUCCGUUCUCUCCCAUGCUGAAGCAGCUUGAGUGUUUUAAUCAGUUGUAUAUAUCACCCAGUUUACCCGUUCCUACUGCUGCUCAACAGGGACAAGUUUCACAGCAGGUGCUGUUUCAGAUUUUGUGUAUCUCAUUUUGGAAGUGAUUCAUAGGUGCUCUGUAAAG
rnacentral:sRNA from 1 species